rnacentral:rRNA from 1 species
UCAGCCUACGGGGGGCAGCAGUGGGGAAUCUUGCACAAUGGGGGAAACCCUGAUGCAGCGACGCCGCGUGAAGGAAGAAGUAUUUCGGUAUGUAAACUUCUAUCAGCAGGGAAGAAAAUGACGGUACCUGACUAAGAAGCCCCGGCUAACUACCUGCCAGCAGCCGCGGUAAUACGUACGGGGCAAGCGUUAUCCGGAUUUACGGGGAGCAAAGGGAGCGUAGGCGGUAAUGCAAGUCAGCAGUGACAGCCAGGGGCUCAACUCCGGGACUGCUUUUGAAAAUGUGUUGCUAGACUGCAGGAGAG